ACUGAUUAAACAAGAGACAUCAAUGAAAGUAUAACAAGAUUUUAUAUAAAUUUACUCCAAGAUCAAUGAGUGAUAAAUAUAAGCUUCCAAGGAAAACACUUCGCAGAAGAUCUCUGUCAGCUGAGCCAUCUGGAGAGAGUUCAACAGAUGAUGAAGCAAACAAAGUUGAGAGAAAAGUCCCCUACAAAGCUCUUCUCAUAAGACCUCGGCCAUUUGAACCAUUUGAUGAGGAUGAUUCAACGGACAGUGAUGCAACGGAUAGUGAUGCAACGGACAGUGAUGUAACAAGUCCAGAGGGGUUGAAAGUGAGUCCAAAGAAGAGCAAUGAUGCAAUAAACGAGCGGUCGAACAAGAAGAGAAGACUGCAUAGGAGGAAGAUGUAUACCCCUCGAAGAUUUAUUUCCCCAGAGGCAGAAGUUAACCAGACUGAUGCAAAUCCGUGCAACAGUGGGAGAUCAGAGAAGGCCCAUUCUGAUCAACGUGUCACCCCAGA